CAGUAGCCACGGUAAUACGUAGGUGGCAAGCGUUGUCCGGAAUUAUUGGGCGUAAAGGGCUCGCAGGCGGUUUCUUAAGUCUGAUGUGAAAGCCCCCGGCUCAACCGGGGAGGGUCAUUGGAAACUGGGAAACUUGAGUGCAGAAGAGGAGAGUGGAAUUCCGCGUGUAGCGGUGAAAUGCGUAGAGAUGUGGAGGAACACCAGUGGCGAAGGCGACUCUCUGGUCUGUAACUGACGCUGAGGAGCGAAAGCGUGGGGAGCGAACAGGAUUAGAUACCCCUGUAGUCCCUGUCUCUUAUAC
rnacentral:rRNA from 1 species